CUACGGGGCGCUGCAGUGGGGAAUAUUGCACAAUGGAGGAAACCCUGAUGCAGCAACGCCGCGUGGAGGAUGACACUUUUCGGAGCGUAAACUCCUUUUAUAUAGGAAGAAGAUGACGGUACUAUAUGAAUAAGCGCCGGCUAACUCCGUGUCAGCAGCCGCGGUAAGACGGAGGGCGCAAGCGUUACUCGGAAUCACUGGGCGUAAAGAGCGUGUAGGCGGAUUAAAAAGUCAGAAGUGAAAUCCUAUAGCUUAACUAUAGAACUGCUUCUGAAACUCUUAAUCUAGAAUAUGGGAGAGGUAGAUGGAAUUUCUGGUGUAGGGGUAAAAUCCGUAGAGAUCAGAAGGAAUACCGAUUGCGAAGGCGAUCUACUAGAACAUUAUUGACGCUGAGACGCGAAAGCGUGGGGAGCAAACAGGAUUAGAUACCCCCGUAGUC
rnacentral:rRNA from 1 species